GAUGAACGCUGGCGGCGUGCCUAAUACAUGCAAGUCGAGCGAACGGACGAGAAGCUUGCUUCUCUGAUGUUAGCGGCGGACGGGUGAGUAACACGUGGAUAACCUACCUAUAAGACUGGGAUAACUUCGGGAAACCGGAGCUAAUACCGGAUGAUAUUUUGAACCGCAUGGUUCAAAGGUGAAAGACGGUCUUGCUGUCACUUAUAGAUGGAUCCGCGCUGCAUUAGCUAGUUGGUAAGGUAACGGCUUACCAAGGCAACGAUGCAUAGCCGACCUGAGAGGGUGAUCGGCCACACUGGAACUGAGACACGGUCCAGACUCCUACGGGAGGCAGCAGUAGGGAAUCUUCCGCAAUGGGCGAAAGCCUGACGGAGCAACGCCGCGUGAGUGAUGAAGGUCUUCGGACCGUAAAACUCUGUUAUUAGGGAAGAACAUAUGUGUAAGUAACUGUGCACAUCUUGACGGUACCUAAUCAGAAAGCCACGGCUAACUACGUG
rnacentral:rRNA from 1 species